AAACCAUGACGAGGACAUUCUCGGAUAUAUUGGUUGAACCGCUCUCAAGUUCACUCAAAGUUACAUCUUCAUCUUCAUCUUGAGAGAAAUUAGAAAUUUUUCUACUCAUUUU